rnacentral:rRNA from 1 species
GCUAGAAUGAAUGGUUGGACAAGAAAUAAUCUGUCUUAAAUUAAUAUAUUGAAUUUAACUUUUAAGUGAAAAGGCUUAAAUAAUCUGAAGGGACGAUAAGACCCUAUAAAACUUUAUAUUUAUAAGAUAGUAGCUAGUUUUAUUUAAAAGUAUUAUUUUGGAGUAUUUGGUUGGGGUGACAAGGAUAAAAUAUAAAAUAACUGUCUUUUUUUUUUUACAGUAAUGUUUGGUUUAAUGAUCCUAAAAGGGAUUAAAGAUUAAGUUACUUUAGGGAUAACAGCGUAAUUUUCUUUAAGAGUUCUUAUCGACAAGAAAGUUUGCGACCUCGAUGUUGAAUUAAAAGUUCUUUAUAGAGUAGAGACUAUAACAGAAGGUCUGUUCGACCUUUAAAAUUUUACAUGAUUUGAGUUCA